UACGGCUCAGUAACACGUAGCUAACCUAACCUUAGGUCAAGAAUAACCUCGGGAAACUGAGGAUAAUGCUUGAUAGAAAAUAAUUUCUGGAAUGAUUUAUUUUUGAAACUCGAGCCUAAGGAUGGGGCUGCGACUGAUUAGCUAGUUGUUGGUGUAAAAGACUAACAAGGCGAUGAUCAGUAAGGGCUCUUAGCGGAGAGGCCCUGAGAAGGAAUCUGAGACACUAUUCCUAGCUCUACGGGGUGCAGCAGUCGAGGAAAUUUUACAAUGCUCGCAAGAGUGAUAGAAUAAACCAGAGUGUUUCUCCUAGAGAAACUUUUGUCAGCUGUAAAAAGGCUGACGAAUAAGGACUGGGCAAGACCGGUGCCAGCCGCCGCGGUAAUACCGGCGGUCCAAGUCGUAUCCACAUUUAUUGGGUCUAAAACAUUCGUAGCUUGUUUUGUAAGUCUCUUGUGAAAUUCCACGUCUCAAGCGUGGAGCGUGCAAGAGAUACUACAUUACUAGAGACCGGAAGAUGCAAAGAGUACGAUUAAGGUAGCGGUAAAAUGUGUUAAUCUUAAUCGGACUAACAAUGGCGAAGGCACUUUGCAAGUACGGAUCUGACAGUGAGGAAUGAAGGCUAGGGGCGCAAAACGGAUUAGAUACCCGUGUAGUCCUAGCAGUAAACACUGCUCACUAAACAUUAGUGCCUCCUCGAGAGGCAUUAGUGCUGUAGAGAAGUCGAAGAGUGAGCUACCUGGGAAGUAUAGUCGCAAGGCCGAAACUUAAAGGAAUUGGCGGA
rnacentral:rRNA from 1 species